AAUUUGGGACAAUGGGGGAAACGCUGAUCCAGCAAUGCCGCGUGCAGGCUGAAUGNCUNNGGGUUNUNAACUGCUUUUGUACGNNNNNGAAAGUCUUGGGCUAAUACCCGGGGCUCAUGACUGUACCGUAAGAAUAAGCAUCUGCUAACUACCGUCCAGCAGCCGCGGUAAUACGUAGAGUGCAAGCGUUAAUCGGAAUUACUGGGCGUAAAGCGUGCGCAGGCGGUUUUGUAAGACAGUGGUGAAAUCCCCGGGCUCAACCUGGGAACUGCCAUUGUGACUGCAAGGCUGGAGUGCGGCAGAGGGGGAUGGAAUUCCGCGUGUAGCAGUGAAAUGCGUAGAUAUGCGGAGGAACACCGAUGGCGAAGGCAAUCCCCUGGGCCUGCACUGACGCUCAUGCACGAAAGCGUGGGGAGCAAACAGG
rnacentral:rRNA from 1 species